GAGAUAAUUAUGCUGACCUUAGAAACCAUUUGAUGAAGAUGGCAGAGCCCCUGUCAUUCUGAGUCCUUGAAUGACAGUUGGGUGACAGAGACAAGCCAACUUUUGCUGAGAAGGAACAUCCACCUUGGACUGAGAUUACGAAUUAAAAAGCAUUUCACGGCAAUUUAACAGAUGAGCCAGAACCUUCACCUGGAGAUCAGUUCUCAUCAUCGCGGUAUGCAGCUCAUUGACUGGGGGACAUGCGGAAGAGAGUGAAGCACUUCCCCUUCCAGGAUGACUGAAGUCCAAUGUAAUCAACCUG